rnacentral:antisense_RNA from 1 species
CUUGAUCGACCCCAGCCACAGCGGCCGGUCGCGGUCGCGGCCGUAGACGUCCAGCAGCGCCUGCGCCUC